UACGUAGGGGGCUAGCGUUGUCCGGAAUCAUUGGGCGUAAAGAGCGCGUAGGCGGCUAGAUAAGUCCGGUGUGAAAGUCACAGGCUCAACCUGUGAAUGCCGCUGGAAACUGUCUGGCUAGAGUCCGGAAGGGGCGAGUGGAAUUCCUGGUGUAGCGGUGAAAUGCGCAGAUAUCAGGAGGAACACCAAUGGCGAAGGCAGCUCGCUGGGAUGGUACUGACGCUGAGGCGCGAAAGCGUGGGGAGCGAACAGG
rnacentral:rRNA from 1 species